rnacentral:lncRNA from 1 species
GGGAAGGCGCUGGGGAUUUAGCGAGAAGUUAGACCGGGGGGGGGGGGGGGCGGCGGGCGGGCGGCUGGAAGGGGGUGUGUGUAUAUAUAUGCAGUGUGGGCCUGGGCAGAAGGAAGGCUUUACGCUGGGUGCCCCGGGACGCGCACCCCUCUCCCGGGUCCCGGAGCAGACCGAGCGUGCGGCGCCAACAGAGAGGCCGGGACGUGCCCCCGGGGCGGCGGCUGGAAGACGAGCGGGAGGAGGAGGAGCGCCGAGCCGAGAGCCCCGACGCGCCCGCCGUGCGUACUUUCUGGAGAGGGCAGGGGCGGGGAGCCGACCCCGGCAGGGGGCGCCGGGUGACUCGGGGUCCCUCCCUCCUGCGCUCCCACGCGAGGAAAGUUUUCUCCUGCCGCUUCGGGCCGGCGCGCGCCCUCCGGCCCCAGCCCCGAGCCUUCGGAGCGGGCGCCGUCCCAGCCCAGCUCCGGG